rnacentral:rRNA from 1 species
UUAGUGGCGGACGGGUGAGUAACGCGUGGAAAACCUGCCGUAUACUGGGGGAGUAACACUUAGAAAUAGGUGCUAAUACCGCAUAAGCGCACAGCUUCGCAUGAAGCGGUGUGAAAAACUCUGGUGGUAUACGAUGGUUCCGCGUCUGAUUAGCUAGUUGGUGGGGGUAAUGGCCUACCAAGGCAACGAUCAGUAGCCGGCCUGAGAGGGUGAACGGCCACAUUGGGACUGAGACACGGCCCAAACUCCUACGGGAGGCAGCAG